rnacentral:rRNA from 1 species
CUAGAGGCUUCGACAAUGACCGAAAGGUUGAUCGAGCGACGCCGCGUGCGGGAUGAAGGUCUUCGGAUUGUAAACCGCUUUUGUUUGGGAAGAAGGCCUGUGUCGUGAACAUGGGAUUGACGGUACCAACCGAAUAAGCCCCGGCUAACUCCGUGCCAGCAGCCGCGGUAAGACGGAGGGGGCAAGCGUUGUUCGGAAUCAUUGGGCGUAAAGGGCUCGUAGGCGGACUAGCAAGUCUGGCGUGAAAUCUCCACCGCUCACCGGGGAGAGGUCGCUGGAUACUACUAGUCUUGAGUUCGGUAGAGGGUCGUGGAAUUUCGGGUGUAGCGGUGGAAUGCGUAGAUAUCCGAAAGAACACCGGUGGCGAAGGCGGCGACCUGGGCCUGAACUGACGCUGAGGAGCAAAAGCUAGGGGAGCAAA